rnacentral:rRNA from 1 species
GACGAACGCUGGCGGCGUGCUUAACACAUGCAAGUCGAACGGAAAGGCCCUGCUUUUGUGGGGUGCUCGAGUGGCGAACGGGUGAGUAACACGUGAGUAACCUGCCCUUGACUUUGGGAUAACUUCAGGAAACUGGGGCUAAUACCGGAUAGGAGCUCCUGCUGCACGGUGGGGGUUGGAAAGUUUCGGCGGUUGGGGAUGGACUCGCGGGUUAUCAGCUUGUUGGUGGGGUAGUGGCUUACCAAGGCUUUGAAGGGUAGCCGGCCUGGGAGGGUGACCGGCCACAUUGGGACUGAGAGACGGCCCAGACUCCUACGGGAGGCAGCAGGGGGGAAUAUUGCGCAAUGGGCGGAAGCCUGAUGCAGCAACGCCGCGUGCGGGAUGACGGCCUUCGGGUUGUAAACCGCUUUCGCCUGUGACGAAGCGUGAGUGACGGUAAUGGGUAAAGAAGCACCGGCUAACUACGUG